UUCUUCAAAGAAAAAUUUUUUAAAAACUAAUUAGUUAGAAGGAAUUCGGCAAGUUUAGUUGCUUCGCCUGUUUAUCAAAAACAUGGCUCUUUGCUAUAUGAAUAUAAAGAGUCGAGCCUGCCCAGUGAAUUUUUAACGGCCGCGGUACUCUGACCGUGCAAAGGUAGCAUAAUCAUUUGCCUUAUAAUUGAAGGCUAGUAUGAAUGGUUUGACGAGAGCAACACUGUCUCCUUUUUAUUUUCAAGAACUUAACUUUUAGGUGAAGAGGCCUAAAUUUUAUUGAAGGACAAGAAGACCCUGUCGAGCUUAAAAGACAUCAUAGGGCUUAAUAUAUUUUUAAAUAAAUUUUCUAUUAGGCUUUUUAGUUGGGGCGACUAAGGAACAAAAAAAGCUUCUUUUUGAUAAUAAACAAUCAUGUUUGGAUCCGGUAGUAAGCGAUUAAAGAAAUUAGUUACCGCAGGGAUAACAGCAUAAUCUCUCUUAAGAGACCUAAUCGAAAGAGGGGGUUGUGACCUCGAUGUUGGACUAGAAUAUCCUGAAGAUGCAGA
rnacentral:rRNA from 1 species